UACGUAGGGUCCAAGCGUUAUCCGGAAUCACUGGGCGUAAAGCGUGCGUAGGUGGCGCGUUAAGUGUGAUGUUAAAUCGUGGGGCUCAACCCUGUCGGUGCAUCACAUACUGGCGUGCUAGAGGACAGCAGAGGCGAGUGGAAUUCCUGGUGUAGCGGUGAAAUGCGCAGAUAUCAGGAGGAACACCGAUGGCGAAGGCAGCUCGCUGGGACGGGUACUGACGCUGAGACGCGAAAGCGUGGGGAGCGAACAGG
rnacentral:rRNA from 1 species